rnacentral:rRNA from 1 species
AUUGAACGCUGGCGGCAGGCCUAACACAUGCAAGUCGAACGAGUGGCGGACGGGUGAGUAAUGUCUGGGAAACUGCCUGAUGGAGGGGGAUAACUACUGGAAACGGUAGCUAAUACCGCAUACCAUCGGAUGUGCCCAGAUGGGAUUAGCUAGGAGGUGGGGUAAAGGCUCACCUAGGCGACGAUCCCUAGCUGGUCUGAGAGGAUGACCAGCCACACUGGAACGGAGACACGGGACAGAAUCCUACGGGAGGCAGCAGUGGGGAAUGUUGCACAAUGGGCGCAAGCCGGAUGCAGACAUGCCGCGUGUAUGAAGAAGGACUUCGGGUUGUAAAGUACUUACAGCGGGGAGGCGUUACCCGCAGAAGAAGCACCGGCUAACUCCGUGCCAGCCGCCGCGGUAAUUC